CCUGACUGCUAUCGGAUUGAUACUAAGCCAUGCGAGUCAUUGUAGUAAUACAAGGCAGACGGCUCAGUAACGCGUAGUCAACCUAACCUAUGGACGGGAAUAACCUCGGGAAACUGAGUAUAAUGCCCGAUAGAACAUUAUGCCUGGAAUGGUUUAUGUUCCAAAUGAUUUAUCGCCGUAGGAUGGGACUGCGGCCUAUCAGUUUGUUGGUGAGGUAAUGGCCCACCAAGACUAUUACAGGUACGGGCUCUGAGAGGAGUGGCCCGGAGAUGGGUACUGAGACACGGACCCAGGCCCUAUGGGGCGCAGCAGGCGAGAAAACUUUGCAAUGUGCGAAAGCACGACAAGGUUAAUCCGAGUGGUUUCUGCUAAAGGAACCUUUUGUCGGUCCUAGAAACACCGAUGAAUAAGGGGUGGGCAAGUUCUGGUGUCAGCCGCCGCGGUAAAACCAGCACCUCAAGUGGUCAGGAUGAUUAUUGGGCCUAAAGCAUCCGUAGCCGGCUUUGUUAGUUUUCGGUUAAAUCUGUACGCUUAACGUACAGGCUGCCGGGAAUACUGCAGAGCUAGGGAGUGGGAGAGGUAGACGGUACUCGGUAGGAAGGGGUAAAAUCCUUUGAUCUAUUGAUGACCACCUGUGGCGAAGGCGGUCUACCAGAACACGUCCGACGGUGAGGGAUGAAAGCUGGGGGAGCAAACCGGAUUAGAUACCCGGGUAGUCCCAGCUGUAAACUAUGCAAACUCAGUGAUGCAUUGGCUUGUGGCCAAUGCAGUGCUGCAGGGAAGCCGUUAAGUUUGCCGCCUGGGAAGUACGUACGCAAGUAUGAAACUUAAAGGAAUUGGCGGGGGAGCACCACAAGGGGUGAAGCCUGCGGUUC
rnacentral:rRNA from 1 species